rnacentral:rRNA from 1 species
UACAGAGGUCCCAAGCGUUGUUCGGAUUCAUUGGGCGUAAAGGGUGCGUAGGCGGCGCAGUAAGUCGGGUGUGAAAUCUCGGAGCUUAACUCCGAAACUGCAUUCGAUACUGCCGUGCUUGAGGACUGGAGAGGAGACUGGAAUUUACGGUGUAGCGGUGAAAUGCGUAGAUAUCGUAAGGAAGACCAGUGGCGAAGGCGGGUCUCUGGACAGUUCCUGACGCUGAGGCACGAAGGCCAGGGGAGCAAACGGG